UACGAAGGGGGCUAGCGUUGCUCGGAAUCACUGGGCGUAAAGCGCACGUAGGCGGCUUUCUAAGUCAGGGGUGAAAUCCUGGAGCUCAACUCCAGAACUGCCUUUGAUACUGAGGAUCUUGAGUUCGGGAGAGGUGAGUGGAACUGCGAGUGUAGAGGUGAAAUUCGUAGAUAUUCGGAAGAACACCAGUGGCGAAGGCGGACUUACUGGACACAUAUUGACGCUGAGGUGCGAAAGCAUGGAGAGCAAACAGG
rnacentral:rRNA from 1 species